rnacentral:rRNA from 1 species
CAGCAGUCGCCACGGUAAUACAGAGGUCCCGAGCGCUGUUCGGAUUCACUGGGCGUAAAGGGUGUGUAGGAGGUUGGAUAAGUCAGGUGUGAAAUCCCACAGCUUAACUGUGGAACUGCAUUCGAUACUGUCUGACUAGAGGAUCGGAGGGGGAAGCGGAAUUCUUGGUGUAGCGGUGAAAUGCGUAGAUAUCAAGAGGAACACCGGUGGCGAAGGCGGCUUCCUGGACGAUUCCUGACUCUGUAACACGAAAGCCAGGGGAGCGAAUGGGAUUAGAUACCCCCGUAGUCCCUGUCUCUUAUAC